GAGUUUGAUCCUGGCUCAGGCCGAACGCUGGCGGCGUGCCUAAUACAUGCAAGUCGAGCGAGUUGAAUUCAAAGAUUCCUUCGGGAUGAUUUGUUGGACGCUAGCGGCGGAUGGGUGAGUAACACGUGGGCAAUCUGCCCUAAAGACUGGGAUACCACUUGGAAACAGGUGCUAAUACCGGAUAACAACAUGAAUCGCAUGAUUCAAGUUUGAAAGGCGGCGCAAGCUGUCACUUUAGGAUGAGCCCGCGGCGCAUUAGCUAGUUGGUGGGGUAAAGGCCUACCAAGGCAAUGAUGCGUAGCCGAGUUGAGAGACUGAUCGGCCACAUUGGGACUGAGACACGGCCCAAACUCCUACGGGAGGCAGCAGUAGGGAAUCUUCCACAAUGGACGCAAGUCUGAUGGAGCAACGCCGCGUGAGUGAAGAAGGUUUUCGGAUCGUAAAGCUCUGUUGUUGGUGAAGAAGGAUAGAGGCAGUAACUGGUCUUUAUUUGACGGUAAUCAACCAGAAAGUCACGGCUAACUACGUGCCAGCAGCCGCGGUAAUACGUAGGUGGCAAGCGUUGUCCGGAUUUAUUGGGCGUAAAGCGAGCGCAGGCGGAAUGAUAAGUCUGAUGUGAAAGCCCACGGCUCAACCGUGGAACUGCAUCGGAAACUGUCAUUCUUGAGUGCAGAAGAGGAGAGUGGAACUCCAUGUGUAGCGGUGAAAUGCGUAGA
rnacentral:rRNA from 1 species